GAUGAACGCUAGCGGCAGGCUUAACACAUGCAAGUCGAGGGGCAGCACGUCUUCGGAUGGUGGCGACCGGCGCACGGGUGCGUAACGCGUAUAGAACCUACCUUUUACAGGGGAAUAGCCCAGAGAAAUUUGGAUUAAUGCCCCAUAGUAUUAUUGAAUGGCAUCAUUUAAUAAUUAAACAUUUAUGGGUAAAAGAUGGCUACGCGUUCUAUUAGCUAGUAGGUAAGGUAACGGCUUACCUAGGCAACGAUAGAUAGGGGUCCUGAGAGGGAGAUCCCCCCACACUGGUACUGAGACACGGACCAGACUCCUACGGGAGGCAGCAGUGAGGAAUAUUGGACAAUGGGCGAGAGCCUGAUCCAGCCAUGCCGCGUGCAGGAAGACGGUCCUAUGGAUUGUAAACUGCUUUUAUACAGGAAGAACACUCGGACGUGUCCGAGCUUGACGGUACUGUAUGAAUAAGCACCGGCUAACUCCGUGCCAGCAGCCGCGGU
rnacentral:rRNA from 1 species